ACAGGACGGCCAGGCGAUCGCCGGAGACACACCGGUCUUCGGAGGAAAGUCCGGGCUCCGCCGGGCGCGGUGCUGGGUAAUGCCCAGCGAGGGUAACUUCGGGCAAGCGCAACAGAAAGCAGACCGCCGGAGAUUACUAAUCUUCGGUAAGGGUGAAACGGUGAGGUAAGAGCUCACCGGCCGGCUGGGCGACCAGCCGGGCCAGGCAAGCCCCACCGGGAGCAAAACCGAAUAGGGAGACGCACAGGUGCCCGCCUUUGUCUCCGGGUUGGUUGCUGGACCGGGUCAGUAAUGGCCCGGGUAGAUGAAUGAUCGCCGAAUCUAUGGCCCCGGGCGGCCCUGGAUUCACAGAACCCGGCUUACCGGCUGCCUGUUGAU
rnacentral:RNase_P_RNA from 1 species